UGCCCAGAUAGUGGAACGCCACAUG
rnacentral:piRNA from 1 species